CCCCCUCCCCCUCCUCCUCCUCCUCCUUCUCUUCCUUUUUGUAAUACUGUAUAUGCUAUAGUUGGGAGUUUCAUUAUAUGUGCAUUUCUGGCCCAUCAGAACUUCAUUUAAUCUGCUAAGGGGAAGUAGUGUCCAAGGAAAUGAGAAAGUAGUUAUAGCUGAGUCCCUGUAGAAUUAAGAUAAUUCCUUUUGACUUCUUAAGCCAUUCUAGAUGCUUGUUUUGGAAAAGUAAUAUCUGUUUAGACUCAGCACUAAUUAAAGAACAGAAUUAAAUGCUUUAAUUAAUAAAUCAAAGUCUCAAAUUCAAUAUGACUUAAAAAUAUUCACCAGAAGUAACUUGAGAAUUUUUCAUCUUUCUGGUGAAAUUUUCUGUUCUAAUAUCUGUUUCCUAGUUGAUUUUUUUAAUCAGUUGAAAAUUAUAUUAAGACCUGUGAGCUUUACUUAGCUUCAUGACCACAGGCUGCAUCCCUAACCAAGACAACCAUGUUAUAGCUGAAUGACUUUGGUUAUAUUCAGGGAGGGACUUAAUGAAAGAAAGAGACUGAAUAGUUAGUUCAGCAGCUUUAUUAAAAUAAUAACUCAGAGAAUAUACCCUACUAAGUGGUUUAGUAAAAUCUAAUAACAUGUAUAAAAAGGUUAUCUCCUCUGCUUAUUUGUAUCAGUAGAGCUAAAUUGUGGAGAUAAUGUUCAUAAUGUAGUAAAUGUCAAAAUAAUACCUACAAUGUAAUUUGUGAAUUGUCCCAGGGCUGUAAUUACUUCUUUAGUCCCCAUUGAUUUUCAUGCCAUUCUAGCCUCACUUAUUAAUAAAAUUAUAUUUUUAUUCUACUUUCUCUUUUGGACAUUUUAAAAUUAAUAUUUUAUAUCUAAAUUAAAUGAAAGAGUGCCUUUUACCAUGAUAGUGCCCCUCUUUUUGUAGUUUCCUUUUUCACUAUUGCCAAAAAUACAUACAUUAUUUUAAUAGGUCCCAGUUUGAACUUUUCCACUUAGUCAUUCUCUUUUCUUCAUUUCUUUCUUUUCUUUUUGAAGAUCUACUUGGAUUUAUUAAGCAAUUCAUGAAUUGGGCAGCAUCCUAUCUAGCAACCAGAAGGGCACUAUAAGGGGUUGUGCCAAAUAGAAGGUUUUUAUAGCUCUUUUUCUUAAUCAUCACAGGAAACAACUUCAUAAGUUUCUAACUCCUUUUUGCAUAAGAGUAACAUAAAAGAUACAUUAUCAGAAUCAUUCCUCUGAGGGAGGCUCCUUAACACGGUGGUGGUGCCUGAAGAAAGGACCAUCAGCAACAGGUCAGGAUAGAAUUAGCUUUGGGAUGAGCUGCUUUCCUCAUGUGAGUAUUUCCAUGGUUGUUAGUGACACUGAUGACUACAAACAUUUAUGCAAUAUUCCUAAUACCCUAUUGAUAUUAUGCACUUUAAUCAUUCCAAAGAAGUCAAGGAUGCUGUAUAGUAAUGAUUCCUUCUUAAUGAAUACAUCUUAACAAUUUAGAAUGUUUAUGUCCCUUUUUAUUUUGGACAGUAAGUUAAUAUAAGUGUUAUGUGAAUAUUUUCUAAAAUGACUAUAGUAGGACUUAGACUUUGAAAUGUAAUUGACUAUAAGGGGAAAUGAUUACAGUUCAGGAAAUCAUUUUAGCUUGCUAAUCUAUAUGUUUGAGAGUUAAUUAAACCCAGCCCUCUUCCUAUAUAUUUUAUGUCAUGUACAUAAGAACAUUACAGUAUAUAGUUUUCUACAUAUAUGAUAUGUAUAAUCCAGUGGUUCUCAAAAUAUGUCCUUAGCCUACCAGCUAACAUCAGUAUCGCCUGAGAACUAGUUAGAAAUGCAAAUUCUUAAGGCCUAUCCCAGGCACACUGAAUCAGAAACUCUGGAGUGGGGCUCAGCAGUCUGUGUUUUAACACCCUCCAGGUGAUUCUGGUGCAUGGGUCAAGUUUGAAAAUUACUGGUAUAAACUAUUUACAAUAAGAUCUAAAAAGCUGUUUUUUUCCCUACUCAUAUAGAUAGUUAUACUUUGUUCUCUAAGUAAAUUCAGCCUGAUCUGGUUAUUCAUAAUCCUUUAUUGGCAAUGAUAACUUAUUCUCCAUACUGCUUAUAGUAUAUUUUAUGUAUAUAUACAAUUAGUCUAGUUAUUGAUAAUUCAGUUAACUUAGUUGGGCAUAUUCCUACCACUUACUAAAAAGUUUACAUUAAGGGACUGAUUUAAAGAUAUAGGUGCAAUGUUUUAUAUUUCUUUUAAUUGUUAUGACAUUUAAGUAGCUAAUAUAAUUGACAGGUGCUAAAUUAUUCUGUUUAUGCAUAAAAUGGGUACAUUGUGGACAGUGAUAAUACAAGCUUUUUUUUCAUUGCCUCUUAUUUUACCAGCAGACAACAAUUUUGGUGUGGCUAGGCCAACUCUCAGAACAAAUUUGUCAUUCCUAUAUUUAUAUUUGUAUCUGAGAUAUUAAACAAGAUGGCUGGCCAGAUCAACAAAGCACCUUAUUUAAUUUCUUUUUUUGAAUACAUGAAACUUCUUUAAAAGUAGCUUGCUUAGUAUGAGAACUGCUGCAGUAGAGUUACAGCUAUCCUUGGAAUUUAUACUUCAGACAACGAUUUACUAAAAUCUUAAACAAGACAGUAAUGCAUUAUAUAAUUUGGGCAUUUCUCCCUUGUCAAUGUAUGCACCAUGGUAAAUAUAAACUAACCACCAUAAGUCAAGUGAUUUAUUCAUUCAUUUUCAUCUUCCUGUGUAAUUUAAUACCUCUGUAAUUGUUCUACUCUUCCUCCCGCUGUUUACAAAUCAAUUAACUCAUGAAAGAAAAAUGCACAUUUCAAAAUAAAACUAAUUAUAUACUCUAUAAAAAUCACCACUGCUUAAUACUAGCAGUGGAAAUGUAAGUGGCUUACUCUACAAACUAUGGUGCUGGAAAAUACAUAGGCAAACUGUUGGGAGAUGCUCUCUAGCUACAUUCCUCCUUUCUUGUUCCCUUUCCUCUCUCUCCCCCACUUGAUUGCAUAAUAGUAUUCUGUACCCAAAACACUCUACCAUAAUUCUGUUUGACUUUAACUUGUAAUAUCUCUUCUAAAAGCCCAUAUUUAAGCCUCAUAUCACCCCUGCUCUUUUUUUCCUCAGAAGUAAUUUGCCUGAUUUGAAUAGCUCAUGGGGAUCACUUGUUAUUUUAGCUAAUGAACCUCAGGACAGCACACACACACAUACACACACACACCCCAUCUCAGAUGUUUGAGAAUGGGAUUGGAAUCAGACUAAUGUGUCCAGUAAAGAGCUGUCCACUGAAGUGAUUAUGACUUUAGGGACUACAAACUGAUUCCAAUGACAUUCAGCUAAUUCUUUUCAUCUAAUGAAUGUAUCUUCUCACCUUGUUCUCUUAUUUCUAAUUGAUAAGCUCCAAGUAGUUGCUAAUUUUUUGACAACUUUUACUUCGUCUUUUAAAUAAAUAUAUUACAAGUAUUUCAUUAACCUAUUCUCAAGUGGUUUAGCUACCAUUCUGCCAUUUAAAUUUUAUUUGCUUGAGCACACUGAUCAACCACUGAACUGCCUUCUUCCAUUGUCCUACAAUGACUAUUUUUGUGUAUGUGGCUUUCAUAGUUGGGGUUGCAGAGCACUGACACCAGAUAUUUUCAGUUUGUUCUCUGGGGGAAUUUUAUUUGCAUCUAUGUUUUUAGCUAUCUGUGAUAACUUGUUAAAUAUUAAAAAGAUAUUUUGCUUCUAUUGAACAUUUGUAUACUCGCAACUAUAUUUCUGUAAACAGCUGCAGUCAAAAUAAAAAAAUUGAAAGUUUUCAUUUU